rnacentral:rRNA from 1 species
AGUGAACGCUGGCGGUAGGCCUAACACAUGCAAGUCGAACGGCAGCACGGUAAGAGCUUGCUCUUACGGGUGGCGAGUGGCGGACGGGUGAGGAAUACAUCGGAAUCUACUUUUUCGUGGGGAUAACGUAGGGAAACUUACGCUAAUACCGCAUACGACCUACGGGUGAAAGCAGGGGAUCUUCGGACCUUGCGCGAUUGAAUGAGCCGAUGUCGGAUUAGCUAGUUGGCGGGGUAAAGGCCCACCAAGGCGACGAUCCGUAGCUGGUCUGAGAGGAUGAUCAGCCACACUGGAACUGAGACACGGUCCAGACUCCUACGGGAGGCAGCAGUGGGGAAUAUUGGACAAUGGGCGCAAGCCUGAUCCAGCCAUACCGCGUGGGUGAAGAAGGCCUUCGGGUUGUAAAGCCCUUUUGUUGGGAAAGAAAAGCAGCAGGUUAAUACCCCGCUGUUCUGACGGUACCCAAAGAAUAAGCACCGGCUAACUUCGUG